GAUGCCUUUCAGCUCGUGUGCAAACCACAAGCUUCUCCUGACAGGUGGAAUUUCCUCAGGACUGUCCGUCUCAGGUGCGUCCAUGUCUGUCUGCACCUGGAUGGCAUCGCCUCUCCAUCUCGAGGACGCCAUCUGGAGGGGGCAGGGCAGGGUGGCUGAUCCCCUGCAGGCCCCAGCCCUGUGACUCAGCCACCAAAGCCCAAUCUCCAGCCCAAGGGAACCAAGGGUAUCUUCUUCAUCAUCCUUCCAGUCCUCUUCCCCUUCGCCGGGCUCCAGCCUCAGCUUGGCCCUCACCUCCACUCCUCUCCCCUCUCACCCCUGCCCCCAUUCCACUUCAUCUCCCUCCCUCACCUUAGGGCACCUCUGCCUGCUCCUUAUGCUGGAGUUGAUUUUCUACAAUCUCAACUCAGCCAAGAGAUCUCAUCACCUAAAAAAGUGAUGUGAACCUUAAGAUCACAUAUGUCAUAUGGGGGUGAAGGUGGGGGUGGGAGGCACUAAGGGCAGGGCAGCAGGUGGGUCAGCCCCAGGUGCUGGCAAUAGAUGGGGGUCCAGGUCAGCAGAGAACCUAAAAACAAUAAAGCAACUGAUUAGCCCG
ensembl:lncRNA novel transcript